GAUCAUUACCGAGUUUACAACUCCCAAACCCCUGUGAACAUACCUACAACGUUGCCUCGGCGGACCCCCGCCUCCCCGUAACACGGGAGCGGCCCGCCAGAGGACCCAACAAACCCUGUUAUUUUCAGUAUCUUCUGAGUGAAAACACAAUCAAUUAAAACUUUCAACAACGGAUCUCUUGGUUCUGGCAUCGAUGAAGAACGCAGCGAAAUGCGAUAAGUAAUGUGAAUUGCAGAAUUCAGUGAAUCAUCGAAUCUUUGAACGCACAUUGCGCCCGCCAGUACUCUGGCGGGCAUGCCUGUUCGAGCGUCAUUACAUCCCUCAAGCCCCUUCGGGCUUGGUGUUGGGCAUCGGCCGUCCCUCCAGCGGCGGCCGUGCCCCAAAUACAGUGGCGGUCUCGCCCCCGGCUCCUCUGCGUAGUAGUAACAUCUCGCACUGGGACGGAGCGUAGGCCACGCCGUAAAACAACCCAACUU
rnacentral:misc_RNA from 1 species